rnacentral:rRNA from 1 species
AGAAUCAACGCUGGCGGCGUGCCUAACACAUGCAAGUCGAACGAGAAAGUGGAGCAAUCCAUGAGUAAAGUGGCGCACGGGUGGUAACACGUGACUAACCUACCCUUGAGUGGGGGAGUAACCUAGAGAAUCUGGGCUAAUACCGCAUAAUACCUUCGGGUCAAAGGAGCAAUUCGCUUAAGGAGGGGGUCGCGGCCGAUUAGUUAGUUGGCGGGGGUAAUGGCCCACCAAGACUAUGAUCGGUA